rnacentral:lncRNA from 1 species
GUCUCCUCCACCUUUAGAACCUCACAAUCACUCACAAACUCAUCUUAAGCUCUCAGGAUGGCUUCAUCUUCAAGCUCUGGUCUCUACAGAUCUUCACACGACAAAAUCUCUCAAACUCUCUGGAACUUGGACCUUUCUCUCUCUAGAACUCUCUAGACAUGCAGAAGCUUCAAGAAAAGGCCAAACACCCAUCAAAAAUCUGAUUUCAGGCUUAAAUAGGUGGCUUUGUUCGUGCUCGUGCACUUAGCGCAAUUUUGAACCGCUUAGCGCACAUUAGUGAAUUUCGGCUUAGUGCGGCUUUUCUCACUCAGUGGAUGGACUGAAGCGGUGCGCUUAGCGGGAUGGCCCUUCGCUCAGCGAACAAGCAUAGCUCAUCCUUCUUCUAGAUUCUUCCUCGCACUUAGCCGAGGAAUGUUGCGCUCAGCAGAUGGCUCGUUAAGCCAUCAUAUUGGCUUAGCGAGAGGGUGAAAAUCAGCACUUCAAAACUUUCCUAAUUAACCUGAAAUUGAGAGAAAAUGAUUAUUAAAC